CACUAUCGUUAACUGAAUACAUAGGUUAACGAGGCGAACCGGGGGAACUGAAACAUCUAAGUACCUCGAGGAAAAGAAAUCAACCGAGAUUCCCCCAGUAGCGGCGAGCGAACGGGGAGCAGCCCAGAGUCUGAAUCAGCUUGUGUGUUAGUGGAACGGUCUGGAAAGUCCGACGGUACAGGGUGAUAGUCCCGUACACCAAAAUGCACAGGCUGUGAACUCGAAGAGUAGGGCGGGACACGUGGUAUCCUGUCUGAAUAUGGGGGGACCAUCCUCCAAGGCUAAAUACUCCUGACUGACCGAUAGUGAACCAGUACCGUGAGGGAAAGGCGAAAAGAACCCCGGCGAGGGGAGUGAAAAAGAACCUGAAACCGUGUACGUACAAGCAGUGGGAGCACCUUCGGGUGUGACUGCGUACCUUUUGUAUAAUGGGUCAGCGACUUAUAUUCUGUAGCAAGGUUAACCGUAUAGGGGAGCCGCAGGGAAACCGAGUCUUAACUGGGCGUUAAGUUGCAGGGUAUAGACCCGAAACCCGGUGAUCUAGCCAUGGGCAGGUUGAAGGUUGGGUAACACUAACUGGAGGACCGAACCGACUAAUGUUGAAAAAUUAGCGGAUGACUUGUGGCUGGGGGUGAAAGGCCAAUCAAACCGGGAGAUAGCUGGUUCUCCCCGAAAGCUAUUUAGGUAGCGCCUCGUGAAUUCAUCUUCGGGGGUAGAGCACUGUUUCGGCUAGGGGGUCAUCCCGACUUACCAACCCGAUGCAAACUACGAAUACCGAAGAAUGUUAUCACGGGAGACACACGGCGGGUGCUAACGUCCGUCGUGAAGAGGGAAACAACCCAGACCGCCAGCUAAGGUCCCAAAGUCAUGGUUAAGUGGGAAACGAUGUGGGAAGGCACAGACAGCCAGGAUGUUGGCUUAGAAGCAGCCAUCAUUUAAAGAAAGCGUAAUAGCUCACUGGUCGAGUCGGCCUGCGCGGAAGAUGUAACGGGGCUAAACCAUGCACCGAAGCUGCGGCAGCGACACUAUGUGUUGUUGGGUAGGGGAGCGUUCUGUAAGCCUGCGAAGGUGACCUGUGAGGGUUGCUGGAGGUAUCAGAAGUGCGAAUGCUGACAUAAGUAACGAUAAAGCGGGUGAAAAGCCCGCUCGCCGGAAGACCAAGGGUUCCUGUCCAACGUUAAUCGGGGCAGGGUGAGUCGACCCCUAAGGCGAGGCCGAAAGGCGUAGUCGAUGGGAAACAGGUUAAUAUUCCUGUACUUGGUGUUACUGCGAAGGGGGGACGGAGAAGGCUAUGUUAGCCGGGCGACGGUUGUCCCGGUUUAAGCAUGUAGGCUGGUUGUCCAGGCAAAUCCGGAUAAUCAAGGCUGAGGUGUGAUGACGAGGCACUACGGUGCUGAAGUAACAAAUGCCCUGCUUCCAGGAAAAGCCUCUAAGCAUCAGGUAACAUCAAAUCGUACCCCAAACCGACACAGGUGGUCAGGUAGAGAAUACCAAGGCGCUUGAGAGAACUCGGGUGAAGGAACUAGGCAAAAUGGUGCCGUAACUUCGGGAGAAGGCACGCUGGUGUGUAGGUGAAGCCCCUGCGGGUGGAGCUGAGACCAGUCGAAGAUACCAGCUGGCUGCAACUGUUUAUUAAAAACACAGCACUGUGCAAACACGAAAGUGGACGUAUACGGUGUGACGCCUGCCCGGUGCCGGAAGGUUAAUUGAUGGGGUUAUCCGUAAGGAGAAGCUCUUGAUCGAAGCCCCGGUAAACGGCGGCCGUAACUAUAACGGUCCUAAGGUAGCGAAAUUCCUUGUCGGGUAAGUUCCGACCUGCACGAAUGGCGUAAUGAUGGCCAGGCUGUCUCCACCCGAGACUCAGUGAAAUUGAACUCGCUGUGAAGAUGCAGUGUACCCGCGGCAAGACGGAAAGACCCCGUGAACCUUUACUAUAGCUUGACACUGAACAUUGAGCCUUGAUGUGUAGGAUAGGUGGGAGGCUUUGAAGCGUGGACGCCAGUCUGCGUGGAGCCAACCUUGAAAUACCACCCUUUAAUGUUUGAUGUUCUAACGUUGGCCCCUGACCGGGGUUGCGGACAGUGUCUGGUGGGUAGUUUGACUGGGGCGGUCUCCUCCCAAAGCGUAACGGAGGAGCACGAAGGUUAGCUAAUCCUGGUCGGACAUCAGGAGGUUAGUGCAAUGGCAUAAGCUAGCUUGACUGCGAGCGUGACGGCGCGAGCAGGUGCGAAAGCAGGUCAUAGUGAUCCGGUGGUUCUGAAUGGAAGGGCCAUCGCUCAACGGAUAAAAGGUACUCCGGGGAUAACAGGCUGAUACCGCCCAAGAGUUCAUAUCGACGGCGGUGUUUGGCACCUCGAUGUCGGCUCAUCACAUCCUGGGGCUGAAGUAGGUCCCAAGGGUAUGGCUGUUCGCCAUUUAAAGUGGUACGCGAGCUGGGUUUAGAACGUCGUGAGACAGUUCGGUCCCUAUCUGCCGUGGGCGCUGGAGAAUUGAGGGGGGCUGCUCCUAGUACGAGAGGACCGGAGUGGACGCAUCACUGGUGUUCGGGUUGUCAUGCCAAUGGCACUGCCCGGUAGCUAAAUGCGGAAGAGAUAAGUGCUGAAAGCAUCUAAGCACGAAACUUGCCCCGAGAUGAGUUCUCCCUGAGACUUUAAGUCUCCUGAAGGAACGUUGAAGACGACGACGUUGAUAGGCCGGGUGUGUAAGCGCAGCGAUGCGUUGAGCUAACCGGUACUAAUGAACCGUGAGGCUUAACCUUACAACGCCGAAG
rnacentral:rRNA from 1 species